rnacentral:rRNA from 1 species
UACGUAGGUGGCGAGCGUUGUCCGGAUUUACUGGGCGUAAAGGGCGUGCAGGCGGUUUGUUAAGUGCAGAGUGAAAGCUCCCGGCUCAACUGGGAGAGGUCUUUGCAUACUGGCAAACUCGAGGGAGGCAGAGGAAAGUGGAAUUCCCGGUGUAGUGGUGAUAUGCGUAGAUAUCGGGAGGAACACCUGUGGCGAAGGCGGCUUUCGUGGGCCUUACCUGACGCUGAGACGCGAAAGCGUGGGGAGCGAACCGG